GAUUAACGCUGGCGGCGUGCAUAACACAUGCAAGUCGAACGAUGAAACUCAUUAGAUUUCUUCGGAAUGAAACUGAAUGGAUUAGUGGCGAACGGGUGAGUAACGCGUGAGUAACCUGCCUUACACAAGGGGAUAGCCUCUGGAAACGGAGAAUAAUACCCUAUGAAACCAGACAAUCGCAUGAUAAUCUGGUCAAAAUGUUUAGUGGUGUAAGAUGGACUUGCGUCUGAUUAGCUAGUUGGUGAGAUAAAAGCUCACCAAGGCAACGAUCAGUAGCCGGCUUGAGAGAGUGUACGGCCACAUUGGGACUGAGACACGGCCCAGACUCCUACGGGAGGCAGCAGUGGGGAAUUUUGCACAAUGGGGGAAACCCUGAUGCAGCGACGCCGCGUGAUUUAGAAGGCCUUCGGGUUGUAAAAAUCUUUUGUAUAGGAAGAAAAUGACAGUACUAUACGAAUAAGGUCCGGCUAAUUACGUG
rnacentral:rRNA from 1 species